rnacentral:lncRNA from 1 species
AUAUCAUCAACAAAAAGGAAUAAUUUGACUUCUUCAUUUACUAUUUCCAUAACUUCUAAUUUUUUCUUUUCCCUAAUUGCCUGGUUUAAAAUUCUUAGUACUAAUAUGAAUAAGAGUGGUAAGCUUGUUUUAUUCCUGAUCAGAGAGGAAAUGUGUUCUGUUUUCCUGCACUUGGUAUGAUGUUGGCUAUGGAUUUGUCAUGUGAGAUAUGAUUCCUGUAAAUCAAAUUUACUCAGUACUUUUAUUAUGAAAACUUGUGUUUUAUCAAAGGAUUUUUUCUGAAGUUUUUGAGAUGAUCAUGUGAUUUUUAUCCAUAAUUCUAUUUGUGUACAGUAUUAAAUUUAUAGAUUUGUUUUGAUUAAGAUAUACUUGAAUCCCUGAAAUGAAACCAACAUGAUCAUGGUGAUGUUGAAUUUGAUUUUCAAGUAUUUUGUUGAGGUUUUUGCAUCUGUGUUUAUCAGUGAUAUUGGUCUAUAAGUUUAUUCCUUUUUUCCCUUCCUCUUUGUAUUUGUUUUUGUGUCCUUAUGAGUUUGGGAAGCAAAUAAUGGUUUCAUAAAAUAAGUGUAGAUGAAAGGGUACCUUCCAUUUGAAUUAUGGAAUAGUUUGAAGAGUGUUGUCAUAUUAUUAUUUUAAAAUCUGCAAAAUUUUAGCAGUUACUUCUUCUUAAUCUGCUUUUUCAAUUGUUGAGAUAUAUAUUAUGGCUUCAGCAUUACUAACAAUUUCAGUGUGCUAAUAUUUGUGAUUGUUUUAUCUUCUUUGUGACUUUCUUCCUGAUCAAUAUAUAUUGAUGUUUUCUCCUCUAAUUUUCACCUACUAUCAAUUUCUCUGAAUAUAAGUACCACUACCCCUGCUUACUUUCAGGUUUCAUUUACUUGGACAAUUAUUCACCAUCUUUUCACUUCAGUCUGUGUAUAUCAUUACAGGUGAGGUCAUUUUACUCUUGUUGUUCCUGUCAUUUUUUUGUGGCUUUUCUUGGGACUAUUUUCAAUAUCCAUAUUUAUUUUUUACCAUCAUUAUUCACCUUGGGAGUUAGAUUUUUGCCAUAUUAAUAAUAUUUGUUUCUUUUCUAUUUCUCAUUUGUGUGUCUAAUAUUUUUUUUUAAUUUGUUCUUUUUAGAUAUACAUGACAGUGAAGUGUAUUUUGACAUAUACACAGGUGGAGUAUAAAGAUUCUGUUCUUGUAAAUGAAUGAGUUGGAGUUAAACUGAAGGAAGAACCAAGAGAUUUCAGCUGUAGUACAGCCCAUUUAACACUCUAGAUAUAGCUGGGUCUGAGUAUUGCCACUGAUACCCUUUUCCUUGGAUUUACACUACUACUGCCACAAGGCUACUGCUUAGCUAUACUUGUUAUCACAACACUGAAAAAUACCUAUAUUCCUUUUGAAAUUCAUAUUUCUUGAUCAUCUAUCAAAAUUCCAGACAAGAAUCUGUGCUUCCUUAGCUGUGGAGUAGUGGUCUUCCAGCCUCAGGUGGAGAAGAUGCAAAAUCUGGAUUCUAAAUGUUUUAUAACUAAGACAGAACUCUGUCUGCCUGAAUUCCCAAAGUAGGGUAUCAAGUAUUCAAAAGUAAAUGGGUGCAUAUAAAAGUUAUAGAUUCAUGUAGACACACAGGUACAACUAAAUAUUGUUUAGCGUUUCUAUCCCGAGUAGGAAUGUUUAAUAUCAUUCACUUUGACUUCAUUACUUUAUGUGUAAUGAAGUCAAAGUGAAAGAUAUAUCAAAUAUAAUUCAUAUAUCAAAUAUAAUUCAUAUUACUUUAAGACAAAUAGAAACUCAGAAAAAUUCAGAGGAUUGGUCUUUUGUAAACUUAUUUGCCCACCAAUCUAUUUUGAAUAAAAGAGGUUUUAGUUAUUAGGUUAUAUAUAUGAAACUUAAGGUAAUGAUUCAUAAACUUGUUCUGGAACAUCUUGUCUGCUUGGUAAUUGCCCUUUCAGUUCAUUAACUACUUUGCAUGCAUGAGUUCUCUCUACUGCUGUAUCAAAAUUAUUAGAAGUAUCAAGCACAUUUAUACUAUUCAAGGCAGUAUAAACUAUCUUUAAUUAAAAUAAAAGAACACUAAGCUGAAAGGAAAUGAUAUAAGAUAGUCAUAUACAUUUUGCUUGGAAUUAUAUUUCCUUCUUCCAUGAUUUAUGUUUUUUUGCCUUCUUUUUUAUUUUUUCCUUUGGUGUUGCUGCUCCUAAUCUUCACUGUUGCCUAUGUUACUGAAUAUUAUUUGAACCCUGUUAUUUUUGUUCCACUGAAUUAAAUUAACCAUGAGUAAUUUUUAGUUUUAUUACUAUUUUUAUUAUGUUUAUAUCGAAAGGAUAUAAAUACCUAAUUAAACAUCAAUUAUUAGCACAAACUAUAUCAAGUAAAUAUCAACAUAUUACUUGAGGGAAGAGCCCAGUACUUAAUUCAGCUGUCAGAGACCAAAGACUCUUUCUGAAAAGCUGUUAAUUUACACAUACAUUGUUUUUUAUCCUUGCUUUUCAAGUGCAGUUUUCUUGAGUCUGUAACAAAUGUUGAAAACAAGAAACAAGAUGAUAACAUAUACUAAAUUUGGGUUAAUGUGUAAAAAUAAGUCUUAAAUCUGGUAUAUGUUAUUUUGGGUCACAUAUCAAUAAGGUAUGUAUCUAUCUAUGGUUCUUAAAUUUCAUUGUUUAUUUGAAUCUG